CGUUUUAAUACCCUUAUAAACGAAAAGGAUAAGCCUUUGGGUUCUGUAAUGUGAGCCAGCAUUCUUUGAGUACUUACAUGUCAGGAACCAAAGAGAAGUGAAGGAAUGUGUCCAAGGGCUCCCAAGUUGGCGGUGGAAUUAGAAUUGAAGCCUCAGCUCCAGAGCCUGUGUUCUGAACGACCUGGUUGCAGCUCACAAAAUACACUUUGGCAGUACUUUCAUAACGAAAACAAAUGAUUACAACUAGUUUACAAAUGCUUUACUUUACUGGAAGAUCGACAUGUUUGACUGAUUUUCAAAAAUAAAUGUCAGAAGCAGCA